rnacentral:rRNA from 1 species
CCUACGGGUGACAGCAGUGGGGAAUAUUGGGCAAUGGAGGCAACUCUGACCCAGCAAUGCCGCGUGAGUGAUGAAGGUAAUUUUAUUGUAAAGCUCUUUUCUUUGGAACGAAUAAAUGACGGUACCAAAGGAAUCAGCCCCGGCUAACUACGUGCCAGCAGCCGCGGUAAUACGUAGGUGGCAAGCGUUGUUCGGAAUAACUGGGCGAAAAGGAUGCGUAGGCGGUGAAACAAGUUAUAUGUUAAAUAUAUAGGCUUAACCUGUAGAAAGCAUAUAAAACUGUUUAACUAGAGUGCAGGAGAGGUAAGUGGAAUUCCUAGUGUAGCGGUGAAAUGCGUAGAGAUUAGGAAGAACACCAGUGGCGAAGGCGACUUACUGGACUGUAACUGACGCUGAGGCAUGAGAGCAUGGGGAGCAAACAGGAUUAGAUACCCCAGUAGU